UACAUAGGGUGCAAGCGUUGUCCGGAAUUAUUGGGCGUAAAGAGCUCGUAGGCGGUUCGUCGCGUCUGCUGUGAAAACGCGAGGCUCAACCUCGCGCCUGCAGUGGGUACGGGCAGACUAGAGUGCGGUAGGGGAGAUUGGAAUUCCUGGUGUAGCGGUGGAAUGCGCAGAUAUCAGGAGGAACACCGAUGGCGAAGGCAGAUCUCUGGGCCGGUAACUGACGCUGAGGAGCGAAAGCGUGGGGAGCGAACAGG
rnacentral:rRNA from 1 species